UGCUUCCGGGCCAGUGGGCAAACACCGCGUGACCCACGUCCUACGCUACGACGCACAGGAAGAAGGGAAAGGAGCGAGCUCCGGGGCGGGGCUUCCGCGCAGGGAGCGGAGCCAGGCCAGUGCGCACCGCCCUCCCGAGAGCUGACGUCAUCCAGAGACCCUAUCGGAUUGCCACCUAGGCUCCGGGAAAGCGGUGUUGCUUCCAGAGUGGAUUUCUCUACACCCCGUGCCUUCUACCUGCCUGGAAUAAUCUACCCUGCACUGAUACAUCUUCAAAAUGUUUUUCCUAAACCCCAGAGCUGGAUUUAAUCCUUCCUCCUGUGACCAACUUGUUGAUACAAAUCAACUUUAAUUAUUCUAGUUAUCACUGUUCAUCCAAAUAAAUGUACAAAAUUGAGCAU